UGCUCGCCAUCCAAUCACCGAAAAAUGCAAUUUUUGCAGAAAUAUCCAAAAUGUCAAAAGCUUUUGAUGCCAAAUCACAACAUAGGUUUUUCCAUGGUGUUCCUCAAGGUAUUGGUGUCUUAAUGUGGUAUUUUGGAGGGAUUAUUGAUCAUUUUUAUCAAUUCUCGAUUGGUAAAAAUGGUUAAAUCUAGCAUCAAAUU